AACACAUCCCUGCAAUUUAACCUCAAACAGAAGUUUACUCCUCUUUAUUCUCAACCUCUUUUUCUCCUUCACAUUGUUUUUUCUCCACUGAGUUGAAAUUAUUUCAGAGCUAUCCUACAGUUUACAAAUCAUCUCUUUCAUGGUAUAUAAUCUAAUAUUUAAUUUAUCUAACACACAUCUUAAAAUUUUCAUUGUUUUUCCCUGUGCAUUGACUAUGGUCUGUCUAAAGCAUUUAUACAAUGAAAUAUGUUUCUCAUAUGAAUUUUUCUCUUCAAAGUCUUGAUACCACCUCCAAAAUGUGCUUCUUCUUGUUUACAGCAUACAGCCUUCAAAUUGUUACUUUUUAAAAAAAAUUAUCCAGAAUUUAUAGUGAACAUUUGCUUUUGGGCUAGGUCUGUUAGGAGUUAUUUAGCCAUCAUAAAAACACUAUAUGUACUUGAAAUAUUUGGAAGCUAUUUAAUAGUAUCUUAUCUAAUGAAAUUUAUUUCUAGGACUGUAUACCCUAGAAUGAUCUUGAAAGGUUAAAUUAUUCCAUUUGCUAGAGAUUGAUUUUCAUAUAAAUUUCAUUAUUGAGCACAUUAACCAUAUCAUUUUAGAUCUCAGGGACCCCAUUAGCUGAAUUAGUUGAUAAUCUGGUAGUACUUCAAGGUAGUCCAGAGAAGCUUAUGAAUGUCACUGCUCUCUGAGAUAAGUUUUGGCUAAAUUUCUUGAUAGGUAAAGAACUAUAAAUGAGAGUGUCAUUGGGGAUAAGGAAUAUCAAUAUAUCUGCAACCAUAUAAUGAAAAUAAGUGUUCAGAGAGAAAAUCCAACUAUACGCAUAAAGUUUUGUUAAAGGAAUAAAUGACUUUACAUUAUCAGAUUAAUGUAAAGAAUUACAUUUGCAAUUACAUUUACAAUUAGAAUUAAAGGAAUAUUCUAAUAUAUGGAAAUACAGAUUCCAGAUAUACUAUAUAAAAUACUUAACUUUAUUAGGAUUGUUCAUAUAUUUAUGAUUCCUUUAAAAAAGAAUCACUGGAGUUCUUUUGGUGGCACAGUGGUUAACGAAUCCGACUAGGAACCAUGAGGUUGUGAGUUCGAUCUCUGGCCUUGCUCAGUGGGUUAAGGAUCCGGCGUUACCGUGAGCUGUGGUUUAGGUUGCAGACGUGGUUCAGAUCCCGCGUUGCUGUGGCUCUGGCGUAGGCCAGUGGCUACAGCUCCGAUUGGACCCCUAGCCUGGGAACCUCCAUAUGCCACAGGAGCGGCCCUAGAAAAGGCAAAAAGCCAAAAAAUAAAAAAGAAUCACAAUCCCUCUCAGAUUAUUUGUGGAUAACUUCAAAAGUUAUGAAAAAAGAGAAUAUACUGGAAUAUAUUUUUAACCAAACUUGCAUUGGAUUAUAAAGAUAAUCAAGAAUAUGACUUGUAAAAUGGCUAAUAUAAUUCAUAAAUAUUAUGAAUUAUAUUGAGAAUAUUCUGAUAUAUAAAAGGGAAUAAAAAGCUCUUGAUCAAAAGAUAGUCUUUACCAAAAUGCAGCAUAAAAUAUAAUAUUCCUGCUUCUAGUUUAACUCCUUGAGAAGAAGUAACUCAGUCAUCUUUUAAUACCAUACAAUUUUUGAAAGGGAAAAGAAAGUGUUUUUGCAGUAUUUUGAGUUUAUUUUAUAUUGCCUGUGUAACAAUUGUGUAUUUUACACAGUAUAUUUUAGUAAUUUUUAUAUAUCUCAGAAUGAUCAUUUUUACAUUCGAAGACUUCUUAAAACAAUUACUGUUUUUCUAUGCUCAAAACACAUGGACUAGUAUUGUUCCAUCUAUAUAACAUAUUUGAAAUAUUUAAAUGAAAUUGUGCUAUGUAAAUGGAUAAUAUUGAUCAAACAAGAAUUUUUUGUAAUUAUGUUUAUGAAAGCUAUUUCUCCCACAGGAAGGCAGCUGACAAAUCCCAGUUCUUCUUUAUCAUUCUAACACAACAAAUCAUGAACAAAGUAAAAUCUUCAGAAUAUAAAGGAAUCAUCUUCAAAAAAAAGCAAAACAAAACUCUCAAGCUGUACAAGCAGUUUCACUCUCAUAUAAUACAUUCUCUCUUAGUCCUUCAGGCUAUUAUAGCAAAGUAUCAUAGACCAGGUGGCUUCUGAAAAAGAGAAAUCUAUUUCUUACAGUCCUGGAGUCUGGGGAGUCAAGGAUGAAGGUGCCAAUAUCAUGAAGACCCUGCCUUCUUUAUAGCUGGUGCCUUCCCACUGUGUCCUUGCAUGAUGGGAGGGACUAGAGCUCUUUCUGAAGCCUCUUUUAUAAGGCACUAAUCUCAUCCACGAGGGCUCUACCUUCAUGGCUUAGUCAUCUCCCAACGUCCCACCCACUAAUACCAUUGGUCUUUCAACAUAUGAAUUUUGAAGCAGACACCAGCAUUCAGAUGAUUACCUUUACAAAUUAUUUUCUCUUUAGAAAUAAAGUGUAUUUGAGACAACACUGCUUCAUAUGUUGAACAAAUGGCUUAAGAUCUUUUAUAAAUAAUAAUCCAUUUAAAUUUCAUAACAGCUCAGGGAAGUAAAUAUUGUUCCUACCUCAGUUUUGGAGAUCAGAAAAUUGGGGCUUAUAGAAGUUAAGUGAUUGCCAAGAUCCCAUAGCUACUAAGUGAGAGAACUAAAUUUUAAACCAAACAGUUUGUCUCUAGAAUUGGUUUUAACUGUGAUGCCUUACUGAAAAGCCAAGGAGUAGAAUAAGGAUCAGUGGAUGCAAAAUUACUAAGAGAAAAUUUCAGAGGUAAUGGGGGAUUCUGGCUAAACUGACCUAAUAGAACUUUUGCUGAAUUUAGGCCAGACAUCACCUGGGGGAAGACAGAGCAUGAGGAACCAGAUUAGGCAUUGCAUAAAAUAAAAUAUAAAGGACUGGGAAUUCUAGCUAUAAUGAUUUAACAGGAUUCUUGCUAAAAUUGGACAAAGCAGAGAGGAACACACACAAGUCCAACAUUUGAAGUCUAGUCAAAAGAGAGACCCGAGUUGUCUAAGUAGAGUUUGGUCAAGAAGAGAAUCUUUAUCACCAUCUACUUCACUAACUAUAUUCCUGUAACCAACUAUUGAACCGAUUACUGUAACUAUAUCACUAAGUGGGGUAAAUUAUUUCCAUAGUUUCCCAAAGGAGGACAAAGUUAAACCCACAGACUCUUUGGCAGGCAAAAUUCAUAUUCAGUGGUAAAGGUAAAAUCCUUUUAAUGACCUAUACAUCCCUACCUUAUCUGGUACUUAAUAAACAAUUCUGAAUGAAUGAAAGACUGAAUAAAUGAAUAAAGGGAUAGAAUACAUCUAUUGCUUCAUUGUUUAUGUAAUAUCUAAGAUAAAUUUCAGUCAGGCAUUUGAACUUAUAGUUGCAUGAAAUUUAUAUUCAGCAUCAGGAAAAGUUUAGCCACUUUCUGCUGCAAAAGCAAUUGAACAUAAUAUAGAAAGAUGUUUCAAUAAUUAUAAUGGGCUUUAUUAGAUUUAAUAUUUGAGUAUUUUUACAAAGAUGGAGAAACUUUACUAGUUUUUUUUUGUUUGUUUGUUUGGUUUUUUUUUUGCCACCUCCUUGGCAUCCAUUUUCACUUCCCUCUGAUUCUCAUUGAUAAUGCUUGAAGCUUUGAGGUGUGAACUGAGCUUUGGCACUUGCCAUCAGCCUCUACAUGGAGUAAAACAUGAGCCACGGCAGCUGCUGACUCACUGCACCCCCUGAGGGUGGAGACCAAGAGUGAGGCACUUUGUGUUCUGGAGAAAACUGGAAGAGCAGGUCUUCGGACAGUUAGAUUUUCUUUUUUAAGGAGAAGAUUUCAUGAGACAAAUUUUUGCAUCUCCUCAUACCUAGAAAAACACUAAAAUCCUUCAAUCAUGGCCAUUGUGACUAGCAGUAUCCUUCAGCAGGACACCAGCAGCAAACGUCUGUAAAAUGUGUGUGUGGCUGCAUGCACCUCCCCCUUCACUUUUAUGACAUAUCGAUAUCUUCCCCCUUUCCUCUUUGGAGCAGUAUUUCAGAUUCUUGUAUAUUCAGCUAGCUCUGAAAUACCGCCCCCCCUUUGGCUGUAGUUAAGUGGACAAAAGAUGUCCUGGUCAUCUGGGAGAAUUGCCACUCCCAAGGGUGGGCCAGUGAGCUCUGAGAAAAGAAAACAAAGACUGGCCUACAACUGAGGUGCAUAUCAAAGGAGUGAUUCCAGAAAGCCCAGAACUUUACACCUUCCCAUAAAAACUGGUUUUCUGUAAAUCUUUUUCUGUAAAUAUGGUUAUCUAUAAACCUUUUGUUCCUACUACCUUCCCUUUGUUGCCAAAAGUCCUAUAUGCUAGCUUCCCCUCUCGCCUCCUCCUCAGAUGGGUUUCUCAGGGCUCCCUGAGAUGCUUUCUCCUGGGCUUCAGUCCCAGUUUCACCCCAAAUAUAAAUUAACUCUCAACUUUCAGGUUGUGCAAUUUUUUUAGUUGACAGAGGUCAAAAACUACAUUCUUAAUGUUGGAGUGGAGCAUGUGACCUUCUGUCCUUUCUCAAAGCAGUUUUGAUUUUUCGGUUUUAAAAAUCCAUAAAUACUUUAGACAGUUUUUGUUUUUCUAUAUUUAUUGCCUUAUCUUUCUUUAAAAGUUUCCUAAAUUUACCUUUGUGGGUGUGUCUAACUUUCUUUCAUUGAUUCGAUCUAUCUUUCUACUGGGAUUAUUUUCUUCAGGCUCUUUCUUGAAUUUAUCAUUCUUUGCUUCUCUCUGUGGACCAGAGUUCUGAGAUGUAGCUAUGAUAAAAAUUCAAGAAGCCAUGAAAUCAAAGUUUCAUAACUACUCUUUCUGGCACCAAGGGUAAGGCAAUUCAGUUGUAUAAUCUGUACCAACAAAAUGGUCAACUUCUUUUCCAACUUCUACAAACCCAAACACUGCUUAUGUUCAUGAAAAGGAAGCAGAUACCCACCUGAAG
rnacentral:lncRNA from 1 species